UUUGAAAAAAUUUCUCGGAUGAAAUUUUAAAAUGGAAAGCGGCGACGGGUGAGUAACGCGUAGGCAACUGCCCCAUACAAAGGGAUAGCAUUUGGAAACGAAUAUUAAUACCUUAUGAAACUUAACUAGUGCAUGCUAGGUAGGUCAAAGAUUUAUCGGUAUGGGAUGGGCCUGCGUCUGAUUAGCUAGUUGGUGAGGUAACGGCUCACCAAGGCGACGAUCAGUAGCCGACCUGAGAGGGUGAACGGCCACAUUGGAACUGAGACACGGUCCAAACUCCUACGGGAGGCAGCAGUGGGGAAUAUUGCACAAUGGGGGAAACCCUGAUGCAGCAACGCCGCGUGAACGAUGAAGGCCUUUGGGUCGUAAAGUUCUGUUCUAGGUGAUGAAAACUGACAGUAACCUAGGAGAAAGCCCGGCUAA
rnacentral:rRNA from 1 species